UGAUCCUGGCUCAGAUUGAACGCUGGCGGCAGGCCUAACACAUGCAAGUCGAGCGGUAACAGAAAGUAGCUUGCUACUUUGCUGACGAGCGGCGGACGGGUGAGUAAUGCUUGGGAACAUGCCUUGAGGUGGGGGACAACAGUUGGAAACGACUGCUAAUACCGCAUAAUGUCUACGGACCAAAGGGGGCUUCGGCUCUCGCCUUUAGAUUGGCCCAAGUGGGAUUAGCUAGUUGGUGAGGUAAUGGCUCACCAAGGCAACGAUCCCUAGCUGGUUUGAGAGGAUGAUCAGCCACACUGGAACUGAGACACGGUCCAGACUCCUACGGGAGGCAGCAGUGGGGAAUAUUGCACAAUGGGCGAAAGCCUGAUGCAGCCAUGCCGCGUGUGUGAAGAAGGCCUUCGGGUUGUAAAGCACUUUCAGUCAGGAGGAAAGGGUGUGAGUUAAUACCUCACAUCUGUGACGUUACUGACAGAAGAAGCACCGGCUAACUCCGUGCCAGCAGCCGCGGUAAUACGGAGGGUGCGAGCGUUAAUCGGAAUUACUGGGCGUAAAGCGUACGCAGGCGGUUUGUUAAGCGAGAUGUGAAAGCCCCGGGCUCAACCUGGGAACUGCAUUUCGAACUGGCAAACUAGAGUGUGAUAGAGGGUGGUAGAAUUUCAGGUGUAGCGGUGAAAUGCGUAGAGAUCUGAAGGAAUACCGAUGGCGAAGGCAGCCACCUGGGUCAACACUGACGCUCAUGUACGGAAGCGUGGGGAGCAAACGGGAUUAGAUACCCCGGUAGU
rnacentral:rRNA from 1 species